GACGAACGCUGGCGGCGUGCUUAACACAUGCAAGUCGAACGGUAAGGCCCUUUCGGGGGUACACGAGUGGCGAACGGGUGAGUAACACGUGGGUGAUCUGCCCUGCACUUUGGGAUAAGCCUGGGAAACUGGGUCUAAUACCGGAUAGGACUACGCGAUGCAUGUCGUGUGGUGGAAAGCUUUUGCGGUGUGGGAUGGGCCCGCGGCCUAUCAGCUUGUUGGUGGGGUGAUGGCCUACCAAGGCGACGACGGGUAGCCGGCCUGAGAGGGUGUCCGGCCACACUGGGACUGGGAUACGGCCCAGACUCCUACGGGAGGCAGCAGUGGGGAAUAUUGCACAAUGGGCGCAAGCCUGAUGCAGCGACGCCGCGUGGGGGAUGACGGCCUUCGGGUUGUAAACCCCUUUCAGCACAGACGAAGCGUAAGUGACGGUAUGUGCAGAAGAAGCACCGGCCAACUACGUG
rnacentral:rRNA from 1 species